rnacentral:rRNA from 1 species
GGAGAUCUCACGUCGCUUUACACUGCCCUAGUUGUCCUACUACCCAAAAAAGAUGGGGCCAUGAAGAUCACUGAUUUCCGCUCGAUCAGUCUCAUUCACUCCAUAGCAAAAUUGAUCUCUAAAGUGCUCUUCAUUCGGCUUGCAGAGGUGAUCCACACAAUCAUAUCUCCAGCCCAGACGGCUUUCCUCCGGACCAAGUGCAUCCACGACAGCUACCUCUUCGUGCAAAACAAUGUCCGAGCGCUUCAUCGACGGAAAACCCCCACCCUCCUCAUGAAACAGGACAUAGCGAAAGCGUUCGACAUGGUGUUGUGGGAAUACCUCCUGGAGCUGCUCCAAAGAUUAGGGUCUAGCGCGCGCUGCCCUGAUUGGGCUGAGCUGCUUCUAGCCACCUCCUCCUCCGCCUACAUGCUCAAUGGGAUCUCAGGCGACACCAUAGUGCACCGCCGUGGCCUCUGGCAGGGUGAACCCAUGUCGUCGUUCCUCUUCAUUUUAGCCAUAGAUCCCCUGCACCAUCUCCCGACGGCGGCGGUCGACUAG